CGAAGUUGAUGGGUUCAAAAUUAUAAAAGACUUCACCAAUAAAAUGAUAAGCCUAAGAAUGACAUGUUCAAAUGUUGUUCGAACUAGGACAAAACUACAAUACUACACAUGAAUACUCAGCUGAAUUUAACUAUCACUAUGAAUGGCAAUGAAACAAACAAUUUAAGACUUCAAAAUACAAAUGGAGAAAAUCAUCUUUUUUAAUAAUCGAAGUAAUGAGAUGAAGAGAAG
rnacentral:misc_RNA from 1 species